ensembl:lncRNA
GUGCCAGUGGGCAAAGGAGACAGCCUCAGCCACCCCUGCUGCCUCGCUUAAGGCAGGCACGGAUGCCGGCAGCUGCACCCUGGCGUGCGGCAGCAUCUUCUAAUGCCCGUAAGCUGCCUGCUCUGCAAGCAGCAGCCUCUUGCACACCUUCUGCAAGAGGCAGCGCACGUGCCAUGGGCAUUAGAGGCAGCAGACUCCCAGUACUUGCCCCAAGACCUCAGCAACCACCAGAGAUGCCGUGCAGUUGCAACGUGUGCUCGGCAAACUCUGUGAGCGUGCCCAGGCUUCUCGUGCCCCAAGCAGCAGACGACGGUGCCAGUGCUAGCAACACUGCUCGGGGAAAACUGGGCGUACGCUCCGCGACAUCGAGGGCUGAGGGUCAGGUUCCUGCCUCUGGUGGUGCCGGAACCAGGGAUGUUGGAGUGCAGACGGAGCCGCAAGUGUUGGAAGAGACUGCUGAGAGGGAAUCCACAGGACAGUCAUCUGACACCCUGCAGGCUGCAUCUCUUUCCCCAUCUGAUGAGGCACACGCUGUGUGUUCACCGUCUCUUCUGGAUGCUGGUCCCGGGCCUGCAGGACACCUUGAGCCUCUGCCCGCAUCAGUGCUGGAAGAUGCAGAAAGCUCAGAUGCUCCUGAGGCUGCACGCUCUGCAGAGGAGGCUGAUGGAGCAUCACUCCUCUUGUCAGUGUCUGAGGGAGGAGAAAGAGAAGAGCCGGCUGUGGCCAUGCCUGAAUCCUCUGGACAAGGUCUGGGAGAAGCACGGAGACUCCAAGAUCCCAGAGAGAUCAACAGGGAGACCUAUGGGUACUCUCCUGUGAUCCCAGCACUGCGGAGAAUUCGUGAGGAGGACAGAAACGAGCGGAUGUUGUCACACUGGAAUAUUUCCUGGCCAAGGAAUACUCAAAGGCUCCAGGCAAGAGGCGAUGCUUUCAAUACUGCUGGCACUGUUCAGGGCAUGCCGGGCAUCCGGCCCACGACAUCACGGGCUGCUGUCCGGUUUCCUGACUCUGGUGACUCCCGAGUGUGGUCUCCUAGACUGUCAGUUGUGCAGGAAGAGUCCAGUGAUGACAGCAACAGUGCUGCCAGCACUACUGAGGGCAUGCUGGAUGCCAGAGACACUGCGAUGACAGAUAAGGGCAUGCACCCGCCCUCCUGUCUUGGCCCUUCAGCACUGGAGGCUGUGGAGGAGGACUGGGAGUGUGACUCUGAGGAAGAUGCUGCAGCAGAGGCAGUCAGCGUCACACCCAGCGCAUCUGAUGAUUCAUCUGCUGAGGUGGAGUCCAUGUCUUCAGCAUCAUCCGUGGCUGCAGAUCCCAGGCCUGAGGAGCAUGUGUCAGCGUGUGAGGGAGCAGAUGUGGGCCCUCAGCACGAGGUGAGCAAGGC